UACGAAGGGGGCGAGCGUUGUUCGGAUUUACUGGGCGUAAAGGGCGCGUAGGCGCUUGUCAGUCAGGCGUGAAAGCCCCGGGCUCAACCUGGGAACGGCGCUUGGGACGGCGAGGCUGGAGUUCGGGAGAGGAGAGUGGAAUUCCCAGUGUAGAGGUGAAAUUCGUAGAUAUUGGGAAGAACACCAGUGGCGAAGGCGGCUCACUGGCUCGUAACUGACGCUCAUGCACGACAGCGUGGGGAUCAAACAGG
rnacentral:rRNA from 1 species